rnacentral:misc_RNA from 1 species
AACGGUCUAUACCUGCGGUACCUGCGGAAGGAUCAUUAAUGAAGCCAAAAAAAACAAAAUAGGGUCAAGGAUGCUGCUGGCUGAACUAAGCAUUGUGCACUCCUUGACUCUUUCUCAUACACCCAUUGAAUGUGUUAUGAAUGUGUUAUGAUAUAAUGAAAUAAAAAAUACAACUUUUAACAACGGAUCUCU